UACAGAGGUCUCAAGCGUUGUUCGGAUUCAUUGGGCGUAAAGGGCGCGUAGGCGGCGCGAGAAGUCGAGUGUGAAAGCCCCGGGCUCAACCUGGGAAUGGCGCUCGAUACUCUUGUGCUUGAGUUCGGGAGAGGAGCGUGGAAUUCCCAGUGUAGAGGUGAAAUUCGUAGAUAUUGGGAAGAACACCGGUGGCGAAGGCGGCGCUCUGGACCGAGACUGACGCUGAGGCGCGAAAGCGUGGGGAGCAAACAGG
rnacentral:rRNA from 1 species